UACGAAGGGGGCUAGCGUUGUUCGGAAUCACUGGGCGUAAAGGGCGCGUAGGCGGCUUUAUAAGUCGGGGGUGAAAGCCUGUGACUCAACCACAGAAUUGCCUUCGAUACUGUAGAGCUUGAGACCGGAAGAGGUAAGUGGAACUGCGGGUGUAGAGGUGAAAUUCGUAGAUAUUCGCAAGAACACCAGUGGCGAAGGCGGCUUACUGGUCCGGUUCUGACGCUGAGGCGCGAAAGCGUGGGGAGCAAACAGG
rnacentral:rRNA from 1 species